rnacentral:rRNA from 1 species
GAUGAACGCUGGCGGCGUGCUUAACACAUGCAAGUCGAACGAUGACUUUUGUGCUUGCACAGAAUGAUUAGUGGCGAACGGGUGAGUAACACGUGAGUAACCUGCCCCUGACUCUGGGAUAAGCCUGGGAAACUGGGUCUAAUACCGGAUAUGCACCGUUGACCGCAUGGUUUUUGGUGGAAAAGUAUUUUUUUGGUCAG